rnacentral:rRNA from 1 species
AUUGAACGCUGGCGGAAUGCUUUACACAUGCAAGUCGAACGGCAGCACGGACUUCGGUCUGGUGGCGAGUGGCGGACGGGUGAGUAAUGUAUCGGAACGUGCCCAGUCGUGGGGGAUAACGUAGUGAAAAUUACGCUAAUACCGCAUACGAUCUAUGGAUGAAAGCGGGGGAUCGCAAGACCUCGCGCGAUUGGAGCGGCCGAUAUCAGAUUAGGUAGUUGGUGGGGUAAAGGCCCACCAAGCCAACGAUCUGUAGCUGGUCUGAGAGGACGACCAGCCACACUGGAACUGAGACACGGUCCGGACUCCUACGGGAGGCAGCAGUGGGGAAUUUUGGACAAUGGGCGAAAGCCUGGUCCAGCCAUUCCGCGUGCAGGAUGAAGGCCCUCGGGUUGUAAACUGCUUUUGUACAGAACGAAAAGGUUUCUACUAAUACUAGGAGCUCAUGACGGUACUGUAAGAAUAAGCACCGGCUAACUACGUGCCAGCCGCCGCCGUAA